rnacentral:tRNA from 1 species
GGGGCUGUGGGGUAACCUGGCUAGCCUUCGAGGUUUGGGACCUUGCGAUCCCGGUUCGAAUCCGGGCAGCCCCA